UUUGAAGUGGCCAACGCGCCCGGGUGGCAAAAUUUCGAGCCAGGCCAUUUAGCUCCACAGUCCACACACACACACCUAACCCUAAUUCCCCAUUCUAUCCUCCCGUCCCCUCAGCCGCCACCAUUCCACCAAUCUUCCUCCGCGCGCUCCAUGCCGCCGCCGCCGCAGAACAGGCCUUACCUGUGUCGAUCCAUCGAUGCCCUCUCUUCUCCCCUCUAUAUGCGUCGCCCCCUCCCCAUCUUUCCCACCGCCACAGCCACCAGCCCGUAGCCCCCACUGCCAUUCCAGAUCACGCCCUCGAGCUGUGGCGGCAGUGGUGGCGACGGGUCCGACUGCUGCGGCUGGACGACGGUCGAUGCCGUCCCCUACCUCCCAGCGCAGAUCAGUCCGCCUUCCUGGGUCGCAGUCGAGCAGCGCACCUGCCGCGGCGAUCCCCAUGAUGCGCUGGCCAUCUGAACCAGAUCGAGGCCGACGAGAAGUCUCUAAUGUCCCGUGCGGCAGCCACGGGUCCAUCUUCAGUCGGCGGCGAGCUACGGUGAGGUACACAUGGCGCUGAUAGAUGCAGUGUACAGAGGCGCCGCCGCCAUGGAGCUGGCCACCGGCUUUGCUGCCGCGACGGGCGCUGCCUCCUCUGCUUUGCCAGGGCCCUCCUGCCCUGCGUUUAUCUGCUGCUCCUUGUCAUCAUCUCCGUGGGCAAUGCCCCUGAACCCCAUUCUCCAGCUAUCUGGCAGCGUGCUGGACGUCGUCCUCCUCGACGCGGCCGUCCCCGACGAGCUCUCUUGGUCAGAGGAGGUGGAGCAGCAAGGCCUCCUAUCCUCCAGCGCGUGGACCGACGGCUGUGUCCUCCUGCUCUCCUAGUGUGUAAACUAUAUGCAUAUCUAGGAUAUGAUGCAAGGGUGCAGUAGCAUGAGACCUCUUUCAUAAUUCUAGGACAUGAUGUGAAGCUUGCAUCUGAUUUUAAGGUAUUGAAUUACACUGAAUUUGCUGGAGAACAACUUUUCCCAGAAAACUUAAAGAACAAGUUCUGAGGUGGAACUUAAAGAACAAGUUCCCAGAAAACUUGUGUUUCUCCUAUCAGGUUGUGUCUUUUAGUUUAAAAAGACACUGAGUUGCUUGGAGUGUCCAGAAUUGCGCGCCUUGCCGACAAAAAAAAGAUAGAAAUACAUCACAAUCACAUACAUAGCUCCUUAAGCCUAGCGACAGAUAGCUUGUGCGCGGACACACGUCAAGCUUCCACACUUGGCUCAGGCACUCCACCAGGCUGAUUGAGCUUGAGUAAGUCGGUAGCUUAGUUGGUCGUCUGCGGAUGCGUGCCAAGACACGCCUCCUACACUAGAGUAGCAUAAUUUAUGGUAUUGCUAUGCUAAUACUUAAUACUCAUACCUCAUAGUUGAAAAAACAAACAUAACAGAAACCAAUGCCUUGAACCCCAGUUUGAUUAUUUAUAUACCAGCUCAUGAGAAGGGAAUCGAAUGGUAUAUUGCUUGAUUAAGCUGCGUACGCAUUACCAUGUGAUGGCAACAUAUUCAGAGACUCACUCCAGGUCAUAUGAAAUAGAGACCCAAAAUAACAUACAACUAUGCAAUUUUGACAUUGUUUCCAUUGGCGGUUUGGCACCACCCAAGCAGACAAGAAUUUUGUGCACUUGAUGUUUUUUUCCCUUCCUCCACGAAUUAAUUGACUUUUUUGUUAAUUGUUGUUGCAGGAAGAUUGAUUUUUGCAGAUGUGAGGGAAGAACUUGUGGAGAGGCUCACCUCGCUCUUCACAAAAGGCCAAUACAUACUUGUUGUACUACUGGAUGAACUUGUAUUUUUAUAUAUGUUUGUAAAUGUUUCCAAUGUGGCUUUAGUGAUGUCAUCUAGGAUCCUUGUUGUAAUGGACGAAAUAUUUUUUUUAGAAAUGGUAA